rnacentral:rRNA from 1 species
AACAGGAUUAGAUACCCUGGUAGUCCACGUUGUAAACGAUGAUGACUUGUUGUUUGGGAGUAAAUCCUGAGUGACAAAGCGAAAGCGAUAAGUCAUCCACCUGGGGAGUACGCCGGCAACGGUGAAACUCAAAGGAAUUGGCGGGGGCCCGCACAAGCGGAGGAGCAUGUGGUUUAAUUCGAUGGUACGCGAGGAACCUUACCUGGGCUUGAAAGUUAGGGACGGACGCUGAAAGGUGUCUUUCGCCGCAAGGCGACCCGAAACUAGGUGCUGCAUGGCUGUCGUCAGCUCGUGCCGUGAGGUGUUUGGUUAAGUCCAUCAACGAGCGCAACCCCUAUCGUUAGUUGCCAACGCGAGAGGCGGGGACUCUAACGAGACUGCCGGCGCAAGCUGGAGGAAGGAGGGGAUGACGUCAAGUCAUCACGGCCCUUACGUCCAGGGCUACACACGUGCUACAAUGGUGGAAAACAGAGGGCAGCGAGGCCGUAAGGCGGAGCCAAUCCCAGAAACUCCACCCCAGUUCGGAUUGAGGUCUGCAACUCGACCUCAUGAAGCUGGAUUCGCUAGUAAUCGCGCAUCAGCCACGGCGCGGUGAAUACGUUCCCGGGCCUUGCACACACCGCCCGUCAAGCCAUGGGAGUCGGGGGCGCCUGAAGUCGAUUCCCGCGAGGGGUUGCCUAGGGCGAAACCGAUGACUGGGGGCUAAGUCGUAACAAGGUAACC